rnacentral:rRNA from 2 species
GCAUAUCAAUAAGCGGAGGAAAAGAAACCAACAGGGAUUGCCUCAGUAACGGCGAGUGAAGCGGCAACAGCUCAAAUUUGAAAUCUGGCUCCUUCGGGGCCCGAGUUGUAAUUUGCAGAGGAUGCCUCGGGUGCGGGUUCCUUCCGAGUUCCCUGGAACGGGACGCCAUAGAGGGUGAGAGCCCCGUCAGGUCGGAAACCUAGCCCGUGUGAGGCUCCCUCGACGAGUCGAGUAGUUUGGGAAUGCUGCUCUAAGGGGAGGUAUACUCCUUCCAAAGCUAAAUACCGGCUGGAGACCGAUAGCGCACAAGUAGAGUGAUCGAAAGAUGAAAAGCACUUUGAAAAGAGAGUCAAAUAGCACGUGAAAUUGUUGAAAGGGAAGCGCUCGCUACCAGACUUGGGUCCGCGGCUCACCCGGUGCUCCGCACCGGUGCAUUCCGCGGGCCCAGGCCAGCAUCAGCUCUCCGUCAGGUUCAAAGGCUUCGGGAAUGUAGCUCCCCCUCGGGGGAGUGUUAUAGCCCGUUGCGUCAUGCCUCUCGGGGGGCUGAGGUUCGCGCAUCUGCAAGGAUGCUGGCGUAAUGGUAGCUAGUGACCCGUCUUGAAACACGGACC